rnacentral:guide_RNA from 1 species
AACAAAUACAGAAACCAACGAGAGAAGGAAUGAGAUUAUAAUUAU